CCUACGGGAGGCAGCAGUGAGGAAUAUUGGUCAAUGGACGCAAGUCUGAACCAGCCAAGUAGCGUGCAGGAUGACUGCCCUACGGGUUGUAAACUUCUUUUAUAAGGGAAUAAACUGAGGCACGUGUGCCUUUUUGUAUGUAUUUUAUGAAUAAGGAUCGGCUAACUCCGUGCCAGCAGCCGCGGUAAUACGGAGGAUCCCAGCGUUAUCCGGAUUUAUUGGGUUUAAAGGGAGCGUAGAUGGGUUGUUAAGUCAGUUGUGAAAGUCUGCGGCUCAACCUGAGAAUUGCAAUUGAUACUGGAAGUCUUGAGUGCAGUUGAGGUAGGCGGAAUGCGUGGUGUAGCGGUGAAAUGCUUAGAUAUCACGAAGAACUCCGAUUGCGAAGGCAGCUUACUAAGCUGCCACUGACAUUGAUGCUCGAAAGUGUGGGUAUCAAACAGGAUUAGAUACCCGAGUAGUC
rnacentral:rRNA from 1 species